rnacentral:tRNA from 1 species
GGGCCCGUAGUCUAGUCCGGCUAUGACGUUGCCUUUACAAGGCGAAGGUCGUCGGUUCAAAUCCGGCCGGGCCCA